GAAAUGUCCGCGUUGACAAAAUCAUUGUGCUGGGAACUUGUGACAAUCAACAAGGAUAAGCUCAAUGGUGUUGGUGCUGCAAUCUACCAGAAACCUGCCACAAAUGAAUGCUAUGAGAAAAGAAAGCACAACAAGCCUCCGAUGUGCAAAACCAACGACGAUGCAAAUGCUGCCUGGUAUGAUUGAUUUUACAAUAUGCAAACAUAACAAAAAGUUACAGUAAGGAUUGAAAAAUCUUAAAGCAAUUAUAGAACAAAGAAAAUCAGUACCUGAAUGCAAAUUUCAGGUAUGUGCCCCUGCAAGCAUGUAUGCACAAAGUGCCAACCAAUGCGGUCGAGAGAGGAAGCAAGUGGCCAGUGAACUGGCCCCGUAGGCUUCAAACACCUCCUUACUGGCUAAACAGCUCUCAAAUGGGGAUCUACGGGAAACCAGCUCCUCGAGAUUUCACUACAGAUUAUGAACAUUGGAAACAUGUUGUAAGCAAAGUAUACAUGAAUGAAAUAGGAAUCAGCUGGUCUAAUGUGAGGAAUGUAAUGGACAUGAGAGCUGUCUACGGAGGGUAAGCAUCAACGAAGAAAAUUAAAAAUGAUCAAACAAAAAUCUCAAUCACCAAAACUAAAGCUUUUGUUUUCUAACAAUGUAAAAAUGCAGAUUUGCAGCAGCUUUAAAGGACUUGCAGGUGUGGGUAAUGAAUGUAGUCAACAUAAAUUCACCAGAUACACUACCGAUAAUCUACGAAAGGGGACUAUUCGGAAUAUAUCAUGACUGGUGUGAGUCUUUUAGCACAUACCCAAGAAGCUACGAUCUCUUGCAUGCAGAUCAUCUUUUCUCCAAGUUAAGAAAAAGGUAAAAGCUUAAUACAUCAUAUCCAC
rnacentral:lncRNA from 1 species